GCAGCUUACAUGUGCAGAUUGUUACUCUAAGGUUCCUGAGAAUGCCCCCUUGCCGGCUCGGGAAGCUGCAAACAAGGGAUGAUGGAAGGAGGCUCGGGGAACCCAGACAGAAACAAGGCAUUCAGAACCACUCAGCACGGCCUGGUGCAGUUGCAUACAGAAAGAACAGUCACAUGUAACGAAAGGCGGGGUACCAUGAAAGGCAGAAUCACAAACAACAUGCAGAGGGAUCAAAGAGGAAGGAUAAAUGGUGUUCAGAAAGACUUCGUGGAGGAAAGGAUGUCCAUGCGUCAGCAGCUAAAGGAUGGAUGAAUUUUCCUGCUGAACCCAGGACCACCAGCUCAGAGAUGGCACCACCCACAAUGGGCUGCCCCCCACCUCCGCCCUCAGUGAUCACCAAUUGGGAAAAUGCCCUACAGCUGCAUCUCAUGGAAUCAUUUCCUUAACUGAGGCUCCUUCCUCUCUGAUGACUCUAGCUUGUGUCAAGUUGACACCCAAAACCAACCAGUACAGAAGGGUUUCAAAAUUGAGAUAUAUUUCAAUGUUCAUUUUCAGUAGUCUUGCAUAGGCAGCGGAAUAUUAAAUUGUGAUCAUAAGGUAAUUACUGAUUGGAAGAAGAA
rnacentral:lncRNA from 1 species